rnacentral:lncRNA from 1 species
UCCGUCUCUAUUCACAACUAGAGACAUAUUACCAACUUCGACCAAAUCGACUUAACUUCUGCUAUCGUUAUAGGUUCACGUUCCACUCAUGCACCUAUAGCCUUAGGGUUUACCAACCUAGGGUCUUCUAGGCCAUCCUAGACUUUCUCUCUUUACUUGCUCUUAAUUCUCUGAUACCAAGAUCACUGUCACGCCCCGCCCCGAAACCAUUACCAAUUUGGCACAGUUCGGGCGCGCCGGACGGACCGCUGAACGGACAGCACCUCCCCUGUCCGCCCAAGGCUCAACAACAGAUUGAGUACAAGAAUUUACCCAGGAGUUUAAAUUCUAAAAGUACAUAAUCAACAGGGCACAAACAGUGCCAACAACAACAAGAGCAAGUAAUCCACUAGAUAUACAAGUGAAAUAAAGAAAGUACUUUACUAACUAUUACAAUAGUUGCUUUCUUUUACAUUUACAUUUUUUCUCAAAAUGAAUACAUUUGAUCAUCCAAAAUACAUAGCUCUCCUUAUCCUCACCUACAUAAAUCUCUCUCAAUACAUAG